rnacentral:lncRNA from 1 species
AAUCAUAAGAUAACUUGUAUUUAUGUCUUCUGUGAAUCCACAUGGUGAUCACAUAAAUACAUAUAAUAUGAUUAAAUGGACUUUAAUACAAAUAUUAAUGCAAUUAAGAUAUUUGAAUAAAAUACCUCAUUUAUUUUAUUAAUCAGAAAAAAUUGUUUAUUACAAUUAAAUAAACACAUAUGCUUUUAAAGAGCAUAUUUUCCCAACACUUAUAGACGUAGGAAACCCCAAGGGAGUUCACUCACAACUGUCGUCAGAGUCUUUGUUGCCUCUAUAUCCAAAUUAUCCUACAGGUGUCCUAGGCAUGCCUCUGAGCUCUACGAGAGAAGUGACAUUAAUGAUCUCUAUGUUGUGCCGCAUAGUCGUAGCCUCAGGUUUGCAUUCUCUCGGUCUCUGACUCUGUACUGCCCCCUUCCCCUGCCAUCCAUCCACUGUACUUGAUAGCUAGCGUGAUUUUGUAAUCUAUUCUGCAGGUGGCUAGACAAGGCCGCCAUUAUAUUACCGAACAAGACGCUUAGGCAACAAGAAAGAAACAGAUGGAGAUUGUGCAGUGUUACCGAAGUUGAAGAAACAAAAUGUCUUGUACAUUUGAUUCCAAUUUGUUUCACUUUCAUCAUACCAGGAGUAGUUUCCUCAAUUGGAAACACUUUCUUUCUUGAGCAAGCAGAAGUUAUAAACGGAAAAGAUGGAGGAAAUUUUAGUUUCGGUCCUCUAUUGCUCCUACUGUUGUAUUACAUCUCGAAAGACCGUUUCACGGCCUUCUACGAAGGAUUUGUUGGACAUCUCACUUCAGUAGGAUGGAACGCCGUAGCUCAUGUCGUUGGAUUUGCAAUGUCAAUGAUUCUAUCAAUACUAUGCUGAGUAACAGCAGCAAUAGUCGAGACUCGGAGGUUGGAUGUUGUUAGAAGCCAUGGUUUAAUUGACAAGCCUGAUGAAAAAAUCCCCAUGAGCUUGUUUUGGCUGCUGCCACAGUUUCUACUUCUCGGAGCCGCUGAUGGGUUCUAUGAAAAAGGCAUUGAUAUGUUCUUCAGCGAUCAGUUUCCUCGCAUGAUUUUCAGAUAUCUGAAGUACAUUUUUGUUGCUACUAUGGGAGUAGGAAUUAUUGGCAGUACCCUGUCCGUUUACUAUGCGGGAAUCAUCAGUGAAAGGAUCGGGAAACAUAAUUGGUUUCAGGACACGCUUAAUUUGAGCCGUUUGGAUAAUUAUUACUGGCUUUUGGCUGCAUUGACAGCAGCCAAUCUUGCUGUGCUCAUUAUAGCGGCAAUGCGGUUUCCUUACAAUUAUUUGAGCUUGGAACAGAUUGAUAUCGAUGAUGGGCCUCUGAUAAAGAUGAAGAUAAGGUCUAAUUAUUUGUUCGGAUGAAGACAAGGUUGAUGCUUUGAUGAAGACAUAUAAUAAGGUCCAAUGGUUGUUGAUAUUGCUCCCAGGAGUUUGGCUAAACACUGACUCCACAGUAUCAAGUUUUCUAGCAUGUGUCUGGUGGGUUAAUUACCUUAGAGUAAUGAUACAGCCACAAAUUUUUGUACAAAUUUAUUUUGUACAAACUGACGUAGAAUUAAUUCAUUGGUUGAAUGAAAAUAUAAAUUAAUAAAAACAAAUCAUGUGGGCCAAGUGAUAUUUAAUUCAAUCAAUCUUAUUAUGCCACAUCAGUUUGUACAAAAUAAGUUUGUACAAGAGUUUGUAGCUGUAUCAUUACUCAUUACCUUAUUGACUUAUCUCUCAUUUUGAGCCUUUUAAAUCUCCGCUUGUCUUUGUGCUUAGAGAUCUUCUAUUAUAACAAUCUUGUGAGAAUGAGAUUCGUUUGGCUGUAACUCUUAUAGUCUUAUUGAUAUUUAACUGUAGUAAAAUUUUCCUUCGAUUCCCCCCCCCCUAAAAAAAAAAAAUUGAAGUGUGGGAUUUUGAGAAGUGUAGUACUGCAAAUAGAAGAGAAGAACGAUCUUCCACGUCUUUGUCCCGAAUUCUUUCUCAUGAUCGUAGUGCCUGUCGCUGCACUUAUGGUAAUUUCUCACAUAAAGCCUUGGAAUCUCAGAUUUGGGAUUUCACCAAUAUGUUCUUGUAAGCAACAAGAAAGAAAUAGAAGGAGACAAUGCAGAGUUAGAGAAGUUGGCCUUUUACGAAUGACUCCAAUUUGUUCAACCUUAAUCACAAGUGAAAAGCCAUUAUCGUAAUACGUACUUUUACCGUUGGGUUAGUUUUGGAUUACCAAAUAACAAUAUUUAAAAUACCUUUUUGAUUGAACUCGCCCCUCCUAGUUAAAUUUUUGGCUCCACCAUUGAAUAUGAUGAUCUUCUUGUGCCCAACACUUUCCAUUAAGCUUGUCGUAAUAAAUGCUUUCUUGAAUAAAUAUACAAAAUUUUGUUGGAACUCAUUUUCUUAUUUUACUGAAGCUCAUAAUAUAAAUAAAUUUUGGUGAAACAGGUUUUCUCUCAUUUUUCUUAUUAUAUCCUCUCUAAAACUUGAUACUCUCAAAUAAAGGUGGGCAUUCGGAUCAGGUUAACUAGAGCUGGCAAAACGGGUCAUCGGGUCUUGUUCGUGUCGUGUCAGCUUCGUGUCGUGUCAAAUUUAGGUCGACCCAAACUUGGCCCAUUUAAUAAUCAUGUCAAAAUAUUGAGACCCAAACCCGACACGGAAAAAUAAUUGGGUUACCCAAUAACCCGUUUAAUAUCUAUAUAUUGAACAAAAGUUACAUCAAAUAUUUACACACUAUCAUACAUACGUAUGUACAUACAUACAUACAUACAUACAUACAUAAUUUAUCGAUAUUAUAAAAUAUACAUAUCUACCAAUAUAUUACACAUGUACACUAUUGAGGUUUUAAUUAUAUAUAUAUAUAAUAUUAUAUAUCAAUAUUAUAAAAUAUACAUGUCUAUCAAUUUUUACACAUUUACACUAUUGAAGCUCUAAAUGUAUGUAAAAUUUUAUAAAUAAAACAUUGUGUUUAUAUUCACCCUUUUAAAGAAUAAAAAAAAAGAAAAUCAUCUUUAAUAUUUAAGUUUUAAUUAUAAGAAUAUGUAAAUUAUUUUAAAAUAGAAAAUAUAAUCGGGUCAUUGAUCGGGUAAAUGGGUCAAGAAUUUUAACCCAAACCCGACGCGGAAAAAAAUCGUGUUGACCUGGACCCAACCCAUUUAAUAAUCGUGUUAAAUUUGACGACCCAUACCCAUUUAUUUAUGUCGUGUUCGUGUCAGGUAAUCAGGUCGUGUCAAAUUUUGCCAGCUCUAAGGUUAACAUAAAUCAAAUCGAACCCCAUUACAAAAUUUGAAUGGGUUCAAACUUAGAACCCCUUCAGUUUUAAUUUUAAUAUAUUUAUAUAUUAAAAAACUAGAAGUCACAUACGGAAAAAAAAAAUCAAAAUCGUAAUUCUUCUCUUCUCUUCUUCGCGCUUCACAUCGGCAUAGCCGCAUAGGCACAACUCCAGGCCCAAUACAUUGAUUGCCUCACUCACACACAUUCGCACACUGCCGAUGCUGCUAUCAAUUCCGUUCAGGUGCACUGGCAUUGCACCUUCUAGGCAUUCUUGAGUCGUUCGCUUCCAAUCCAGCUACUGUGGUUGCUGCUGUCACUGCCUUCUUCUUCAUUCGCCAUCGUCAGCCGCACAAGGUAAGGACAUUAAGGUUAUAUUUUCGAUUCCGGUGAUGAAUGGGAUAUGGGGAAAUAUUGUCAAUUGAAUGUAUUUUUUCGGCAGUAAGUGUUAUUUGAUUGGUUCAAUUAAUCACUAGGUGCUUGAAGAAGGAUGUAUCGGCUUUGCAUGCUAGUUUCUUCCAUGCCCUACUGAAAAGAAGCAUUUCAAAUUAUGCUUAUUUGCUUAACGUCAAUUACGGUUGGUCUUGAAACGUGCUCCAAAUUCUUGCAUAUAUUAAAUUGAAUUAUUAUUAUUGUUGUUGUUAUUAUUAUUAUUUUGCAUUGAUUAAGGAUUGAAUUGUUCUAACUAAAUUGAACUCAAACCAAAAUUUAGACCCGAAUUUUUUAGCCGAAUAGAUUUGAAUUGCAUACCUAAACUGAACCAAAUUGAAUUUAUUUCUUGUCGAUUCAAUUUGUGUUCACAUUUUAAACCUAAUUGGGUUUAAUUUUUCAACCCAAUCCGGUUGUAACCCAAAUCAAAACUCGAUCAAUUUGAAUCAAAACCCGAUUUGCCCAACUGUACUAAAAUAUGAAUGAAAAUGAAAACAACCUCCAAUGCACCCAUACAUUGCUUCGUUUCUUGACCAAAUCUAUUCAUUAAUCUGUUUGGAAGUUGAAACAUUUAUUGGAGGAAUCGCUACCUUACCAUAACUAGGCUAUUUCUUCUCUAUAGAUACUUGAGAAUCGAAGACACACUCUCUAUUCAACUGAUCAAGAUUUCCCCCCCACCCCAAAAAAAAAAAGAACAAGUAACGAUGGUGAUUUCUCAAACUAUAAGGAUUAAUCUGGUACUGUGAAGAUCAAAGCCAAAUUAAAUUGUUAGGAUAGCUCUUGGAGUAGCUCGACGGUUCUUUGUCACCACUCAGCUACCUUUAAUCAACUCGGUUGCAGAACAAAUAAAAAAAAAUAUCAUACAUAAUAGCAUACAAUGAGAACAGAAAUAAUAAAGAGAAUAACACAUGAUAUUUAUGUAGUUCAGUUUCGUUAGGCCUAUAUUCUCCGGGAUAAACACACUCUUGUUGGUUUUAUUAAUCAUUAAGGAUAUUUCAAUGGAAGUAUACUUAUUUAAAGAUUAUAGGACUGACAAUCUCUCCCUCUACCCGAAAACUAUUUCACCUAGUUCCUCAAAGUUGUGGACUGGAGUGCAAUGAAUCCAGAACUCGAAGCUACAAAACGGCUGCGUUUUGAGUAAGUGUUUUUAAUCAUAAAUCACGUGCAGUCGCGUGUCACUUAACUUAAGGGAAAAACGGCGUUCCUUUCAGUCGUUUUGGGCAAACUUAAGUGAAGCACGUGAGACAGCAUGUGAGGAAGGAAUCAAAUUCGUUACGAAGCCAUUACACACGCGUCCAAAGGCCGUGUAAUCUGGAUAGAGGCUGAUUGUUGAAGCAGAUAGUGAGUGAUUUUGUGAGCUUUCCGGAGAGUUCCAAGAAAGUGAGAGAGAGUCAUCUUGUUCCUUGUACCUUCCUCUGUAUUAUCUCUGUAGAAUCCAUCUCCAAUCAUCAAUAAAGUUUUUUCUGUGGCUUCUCCCGUGGAUGUAGAUGGUGCAUCUUAUGCACAAUCGAACCAUGUUAAAUCCUGUCUUUGUGUGAGUGUGUUUUGCUUCUUGAUCAGUUAAUCUUGUAUUCUAAAUCUCCAUUAUCCUAGAGCUAAAGUUUUUUGUCUCGAAAUUGAAGCUACAGAUCAGUUGUGGUUUAUUGCUAACAAGUAAAUCAGGCAAUCAAAUCACAACAAAAGUAUUUCUCAAAACUUAGUCUACCUUGGCCGCACUUGGAGCAACACCAUCGAUGAUUUAAACAUCUAAACAACUAUUACAACACUUUGCUAAUCAUUAUGAUCAGUUAUCCAACUGUCAUGUGUUAUAGGCGCGCGGUUAGUUAUCUAACAAUCAUGAGCCACUCCAAUUUUAUUACUAGUUCCUAAAUAACUAUUGUAGCAGUUAUUUAGUCAUUAUAUGUCACGUAAUCUCUAUUGUCAGAUUAGCUUUUAGUGAUAGAGGUCUAACGCAACUAUCCCACCAGUACACCUCAAUCACCUGCUACAUCUGAAUGCAAAGUAGAAUUUAUAACAUAAUCUUAUAGGUAGAGGAGAGUUGAAAUUUGAUAUGUAUAUUUAAAAUUUCUCUGGGUGAUGCUACCAAUUUCGAAGAAUCCCUAUAGAUAAUUAAACUUAACGGAUAAAGUAAAACGUUUGGCAUCUUCAAGUUAUACGAGGUGUUUGAACUCUCACAGUUGAUAUUUUAGUUAUUAUUUUGGAAGGACUUUAAUCUUGCACUUUUGAUUCUUGAUUUUUUUUUUCCUUUUAUCUUUCCCUCUUUCUGCGUGGUAUAGUUUGGCUUUGCACAAUUCAUGAGACAUAGAAACAUGCAUGAAGAAGACAAAGUCGCAUACCCUAAGCAAUAAUUUAACAAAGAUCGCCAUAUAUUCAGCUGUUGAAUUAUUUUAUUAAUUUAAAAAAAUCUGCAAAUGGGGGUUAAGUAUAGAUAUAGGGAAAAGGACAGCUAUGAUUUGGGAAAUUUCGGCAAAUGGGUUAAGCAUAGAUAUUUAUUAGGGAAAAUGAUAAUUACAUUUACACCCCUGAUUUGGGAGAACGGUCAUGGAGACACCUAAAAUUUCUACAAGGGACGUCAAAACUCUCUUCCCUUCAUUUUUACAACUAAUUUAGAUGGAAAAUGUUAAGUUUGUUGUUAUGCCUUUAUGAUGUGCUUGCUGUUUUCCAUAUGGAAUUUUAAAUUAAAUAAAUAAAUAUCUAGGAAAUAUGACUCAACAAAGUAUCUAACUUAGAUAGUAACUUUUGGAGUAGUAAAAUAUUUUGUAUCAAAAUUAUUUUGAAGAAAAGCAAAACUUAUCUACUUCAACAAUAUUGCUGACUUGGUGGUGAAGCAAGACACCUUGAUAAAUUUACAUGAUCUUCAGGAAUUGAAGACUGACUACAUGGCAAAAUCGUUUAUAGAAUUUUCCGCUUUGUAUAUAUCUUUGGUACUUGCACUCGGCGCAUAUUUGUUUUAUGUCCCCUUGUAUAUAUCUUCGGGAGAGGAGCUUGUUUGUCACGUAAAAUUUCUCCGGUUUGCUUUACUUCUAUGCAGUAUUUAUUAUUUUUAUUACAACUAUUUAAUUGAUAUUUUAUUGAACUUGAUAAACCCAUAAUACCGGAUCUUUCAAGAAGGCAUAGACUAUUUUUGCUGUUGGAAGCAUUCUGCAGUUUCUUAUUUUUCUACAACAAACUUUUCUUAUAGUGUGAAACCGAUUAAGGAGAUGAGAAAGACUGAUCACUAAAGAAAAUGAAAUAAGAAAUGAGCAAGUUGGAGAGAGAAAAUUUAGGCCAAAAAUAUAUAUAUCAUAAAUAAUUUAUUUCUCAAAGUCAAUAAUAAAGUAAUUACAUCCAAUCUUCAUCAUUGAUUAAAAAAUGGUUGAUACUUGGUGGUGACCUAAUCCCAUAAUUUAAAAACAAAUAAGGGGAGAACGUACAAUUGUUUUUUAAAGAAUGACUCCCUGAUUAGUCGAGACUAAAGAUUUUACAAUCAUCUCGUGACAAUAAAAUAUUGCAAGGUUAUACAAUUGUAUUUAUUGUUUCUAUUAGAGCUAGCCUUAAUUACCCACUCUAGUCUCUGGCGAGUAGUAAAUCCAUACAUGGGUCGAAUCUCUAUCUAGAGACUUUAUUUUUUUAAUUGAAAAAUAAACAGAAGUAAACAUCUCCCAUAUUAAUAAGGAUAAACUAAAUAUAUAUAUAUAUAUUAUAUAAUCGGAGAAACUUCGGUGACGAGUGUUUUGAGUAACAUCUUUUUGUUUUUUUAAAUUCGUUAUUCUUCUUUCAACAAAUUUUGUUUUGUCGUUUAGUUUGUAAUUCUUUCAAGGAAAAAUAUCAACCGUCUACUCGUUUUUUCUAACUUUUUUUAAAAUACAUAAUUCCUUCUUUUUUUGGAUGGAAUCCACCUAAAAUUACAUUUUGUUUCACUUUUCCACUUCCGUUGGAAUCCGUUAAGAAAACUAACGGAAACUUUAAAAAAUGACAAUUUUACCCCCCAAAACGAAAAUUACAAUUUCACCUUAAAAAUUACAAAAAAUAAUCAGAUUAAAUCUAAUUAUUUUCCCCAUCGGUCAAUAAAGAAAUUAAUUCCAAAACCAUCAAAUGCAGAGUUUUUUUUAAUAUGUCUAUAAUUAGAAUGCUAAAUUAUAACAGUAGUAUUAAAAAUAACUCAAUCUCGCAAACCAUCAAUUGAAUUUAAGAUAAGUAGAGUUUUAUUGUUCAUUGAGUUAUAAUCUCUAGUAGUUAAGAUUUUUUUGUACUUCAUUAACAUACCAAUAAUGAUAUUCAUCAUUAAAUCUGAUUAUUUUUUGCAUGUUUUAGGGUAAAAUUGUAAUUUUCGUUUUGAGGGUAAAAUGGUCAUUUUUUAAGUUUCCAUUAGUUUUCUUAAUGGAUUCCAAACGGAAGUGGAAAAGCGAAACAAAAUGUAACUUUAGGUGGAUUCCAAAAAAAAAAAAAGAAUUGUGUAUUUUUAAAAAAGUUAGAAAAAAUGGGUGGAUGGUGGAUAUUUUCCCUUCUUUCAACCACUCAACCAAAUUUGCUUUUUCAUGUAGAUUGUGUUUGAGUCAAUUGCGUUGCCACAACGCAGUUGUCCUAUCCAUAUAUUUUCAAGAAAAUUCUCCUAAAAGUAUAUGGAUAGAACAUAGCACAACUACCCCAAACACAUUUUUAAUUUAAGAUAUAUUUCAUCCUCUUAAAAUGACGAUCAUCAAUUUAUUCUCAAAAGUUAUUGAAACAUUAAUUUAUCCUUAUUUUCUAUUGAAAACAUUUGAGUUGACCCAAAAAAAAAAGUUAUCCUCCAAAGAAAAAAUAAGGGUAAGUUUGUAAUAUAAGUAGCAUAUUUAUUGAUUUUAAUAGGGAAAACUAGUUUAAUCUAAGACAAGUACAUUUUUCUUUUGAAGUUAAAUUAAUAUUAAGAUUUGAAAAUAAUCAAAUAUGACCAAAUAAGGGUAAGUUUGUAAACGAAAAUUAUAAUUCUGAGUCUGUUUAGUUUGUAAGUCUUAAAGAGUUAUACAUCAAAACUCUUCUAGACACGAAGCAUUCUGUAGUUUCUUAUUUUUCCACAACAAACUUUUCUUGUAGUGUGAAGCUGAUGAAGGAGAUGACAAAGACUGAUCACUAAAGAAAAUGAAAUAAGAAAUGAGCAAGUCGGAGAGAGAAAAUUUAGGUCUAAAAAUAUAUAUCAUAAAUAAUUUAUUUCUCAAAGUCAAUAAUAAAGUAAUUACAUCCAAUCUUCAUCAUUGAUUAAAAAAUGGUUGAUACUUAGUGGUGACCUAAUCCCAUAAUUUUAAAACAAAUAAGGGGAGAACGUACAAUUUUUUUUUAAAGAAUGACUCCCUGAUUAGUCGAGACUAAAGAUUUUGCAAUCAUCUCGUGACAAUAAAAUAUUUCAAGGUUAUACAAUUGUAUUUAUUGUUUCUAUUAGAGCUAGCCUUAAUUACCCACUCUAGUCUCUGGCGAGUAGUAAAUCCAUACAUGGGUCGAAUCUCUAUCUAGAGACUUUAUUUUUUUAAUUGACAAAUAAACAGAAGUUAACAUCUCCCAUAUUAAUAAGGAUAAACUAAAUAUAUAUACAUAUUAUAUAAUCGGAGAAACUUCGGUGAUGAGUGUUUUGAGUAACAUCUUUUUGUUUUUUUAAAUUCGUUGUUCUUCUUUCAACAAAUUUUGUUUUGUCGUUUAGUUUGUAAUUCUUUCAACCACUCAACUAAAUUUGCUUUUUCAUUUAGAUUGUGUUUGAGUCAGCUGCGUUGCCACAACACAGUUGUCCUAUCCAUAGAUUUUUAAGAAAAUUCUCCUAAAAGUAUAUGGAUAGAACAUAGCACAACUACCCCAAACACAUUUUUAAUUUAAGAUAUAUUUCAUCCUCUUAAAAUGAGAUCAUCAAUUUAUUCUCAAAAGUUAUUGAAACAUUAAUUUAUCCUUAUUUUCUAUUGAAAACAUUUGAGUUGACCCAAAAAAAAAAAAGUUAUCCUCCAAAGAAAAAAUAAGGGUAAGUUUGUAAACGAAAAUUAUAAUUUUGAGUCAGUUUAGUUUGUAAGUCUUAAAGAGUUAUAUAUCAAAACUCUUCUAGAUUUGCAUAGACUUGUAAGCAUGUAUGAUAAAUUACAACCAUUUCACUUACUCUCUUAUUUUUUUCAUAAUACUAAAUAACCUCCAGACACCAGCAUUUUGCAAUACUAUCCUUAUUUUUAUAUACAUUUUUUUUUCAUAUUGAUUCUAAAUUAAAAAAAUCAUAUAAAUUGAAAUUAAAAUAAAAAAAUUUUAAAUACUAAAAAUAAAAACUAUAGAUUUUGGCAAUGCAAAAGUAAUAAUAAGAUAUUUUUCUUAUACCUUUUGUUAAUUUUUUAAAUAUUUUUCUUAUAAUGAAUAUAUAUAUAUUAUAAUCUCAAGAUCAAAUAUCAAGUAAUUGUCCCAUUUGUCUCUCUUCUUCUUUAAAUUUUUUGUGCCAUGAGGAUUAUUGGAUAUUAUGAAGACAAUAAGAGGGUAAUGUUAACAUAUAUGUUUUCAUAAUGUUGAUUUUGAUGAUAACAAACAAGAUUAAGAAUGAUUAAUCUUUUAAACUCAAAUUAUUUUUUAUACAUUUUAAAUAAAUCAUUAUUUUUACAUUAUAAAGGUUUUAUAUUUAAUGGAAAAAUGAUUUUAUGAAAUUGGUUGUUUUUCAAGUUUAUAAUUUAAUUGAAAGAGUUUUGAAAACUUUGAAAUAAACAAGUAUUGCUUGAAAUUUUGAAGAAUGACUUAUUUGAAAAGUAUCAUAACAUUUUGGGCUAUAUCAUAAUUUCAGAAAGUUUUGGGAUUAACAAAGUAUUACUUAGAAAUUCUGAAAUUGGACAUAUUUGUAAAGUUUCAUAAUGUUUUGGGCCGUAAUACAGUUUUAUAAAGUUUUAGGGUCAAACUGUAAUUUUAAAAAAUAGUUCACUGUAGCAGUCGCUGUAGCAAGCGGCAUACCAGAUGUGAAAAACUAGCAAGCCGGAUGUUGGACAUAAUAUAUCCGAAUUGAAAGCGGCUUACCGGAUAUGGUUAAACGGCAAACCGAAUUUUGGGCAGUAAACUUCUGGAGCAUAAACGGCUUACCGAAUUUUGCAAGCGGCAUGCCGGAUAUUCUGAAAUUUAAAUUUUUGCCUUAACGGUAACAUAAAAGCGGCUUACCGGAUUCCUAAACGGCAAACUGGUUAUGACCAAAAUGUUCAUAACGGCUAGUUUUUGAGCUCAAACUAUAUAAACUCAAAAUCAAUUCAUUUUUGGCAACCUAAGAAAACAAAAACAAGUGCACACAACUUAAUAUUGAGCUUCAAAUUCGAAAAUCAUCAUAGAUUAAAUCUUCAUUGAGCUAUCAUUUGUAUAUCCACUCUUAAAGAGAGUUUCAUUGUUGUAAUUUUUAUUUCUCAUCAAAUUGUGAGUAUACGAGUGUGAGAAACACUUAGGGUGAAGAGAUUGAGGAGAUAAUCUUUUGAUUGUAAAGGUUCAUUGACACCUUAGAAGUCAAUUGUAAAAACUUGAAGCCUUUGGAGGCAUGGAUAGUGAAAUCCUCAAGCGGGCGAGCUUGGAGGCGUGGACGUAGGCGGGGAUUGCCGAACCACGUAAAAAUCCUUGUGUUUGUUUUCUUUUCCCUUACUCUUUUAAUAUUGAGCAUGAUUGAAUUUAUUGUUUUCAAUUUGAUUAAGGCAAUAGAUUAAAUUGUUGUGUGGUUUGCUUAGCUUAAAUUUUAAAAUCCCAAUUCACCCUCCUCUUGGGUUGCCUAGUUAGUAUUUCAUUUGGUAUCAGAGCGAUGUGCUCUUGUGUAGACUUAACCGUCUAGAGUUAAAGAUCAAUAGCAACCCAAAUUAGUUCAACUUUCAUGGAAGGCCAAUCCACCACUAGACCUCCAUUCUUUGAUGGUAAUGACUAUCCUUAUUGGAAAACUAGGAUGAAAAUGUUUUUACAAGCCUUAGAUUAUGAAAUAUGGGAAAUAGUUUGUGAUGAUUCAUUCAUUCCUAGGAAGAAUGUUUUAAGUGAGUUGGAUAAGAAAAAUAUGUCUUUAAAUUCCAAGGCUACGAAUGCUUUAUUUUGUGCCUUAGAUAAAAAGGAAUUUUAUAGAGUUUCAAAUUGUUCUAAUGCUUAUGAAAUUUGGAGAAAACUUGAAAUUGUGUAUGAGGAGACUACAAACGAGGAGGAAUUUCAUGAAGUGUCGAAUUUGGCACUUAUGGCAAUUAGAGAUGAAUCGGAUGAUGAACUUGAUGAGGUAAAUGAUCUUCUUACUUAUGAUGAAUUACAUGAUGCUUUUAAAGAAUUGCAUGAUCAGUGGAUGAAACUUGGUAAAAAGAAUGCAUGCUUUAAAAAGAAAAUGCUAGAACUUACAAAUGAAAAUGAUACUAUGCAAAAAUGCAUUGAUUCAUUGAAUGAGAAGAUAAAAGAAUUAGAAUUAGAGAAUAAAACAUUGCAUGAUGGAGUUUCAUUAUCAAAUGAGAAAUUUAGCACUUCACACAAGCAUCUAAAAUCAUAUGUAGAUAACUUGAAAAUUGAAAAUGAUACUUUACAAAAAUAUAAUGAUUCAUUAAAUGAAAAGAUUAAAGGACUAGAGUUAGAUAAUAAAAUGUUGCAUGAUAGAAUUGCAUCAUUUAAAGUUAAACAAAAUAUUUCGUAUGAGCAUGAAAAAUCACAUGUUGAUAAAUUGAUGAAAGAAAAUGAUGUGAUUCAGAAAAAGAGUAAUGAGCUCAAUGAAAUUGUGUUAAAAUUCACAAAUGAUCAAAAGAACUUAGAAAAAUUACUAAGCACUCAAAAAUGUGUGUUUGAUAAAAGAGGACUUGGGUAUAAACCUUACUUGAAACAAAAAUAUUAUAAGAAUUAUUUUGUUAAGGCUACCUCCACAAGUGAUCAUAAGAUUGUUUGUCAUUAUUGUAAUGGAAAUUGUCAUAUGAGUUUUAGAUGUCCAGUUAAGACAAAUGCAUAUUAUGGAGCCAAAUGUAUUUGGGUUCCAAAAGGAACUAAAUCUAACGUUCAAGGACCCAAGAGUAUUUGGGUACCAAAGCACACAACUUGAAUAUUUUUUUUUGUAGGUACCACAAACAAGGAAUGGUGGAGAGUUCUUUGAUGAAGCUUAUGAGGAUAAUCACUUGAUCAUGGUCUAAGCAAAAAUAAUGAGGCAAGAUGAUUUAAUUGUUUUGGUAACUAUUAUUGCCUUAUUGAUUAUAAGUGAUAGUCUUUUAAUCUUAGUAAAUAUUUAACAUUUCAUUUGGUAUCAUAACAUUAAGUGCAUUAACAUGAAGUGGAUAAGCUUAUCUUGCCAUAUUAAUUUUGUUGAAUGAAUCAUAAUAAAUGAAUUUGCGAAAGUAUGCUUGUAUGUUUACAUGAUGGAAUUAUCAUUGUGUUUAACAUUGAGUGCUUUAUCAUGAUGCAUGGUUAUAUAUUUAUGACGAUAGCUUGUCAACUCAUCAUGAUAGAUUUGUUUGAUUUUGAUGAUUAUGUAAUGCCUAAGCUUGAUAAAUGAGUGAUAUGCUUGAAUUAUUAAUCUUUGAAUACUUACAUAUUUCAUGAUUGUAUGAUGUGUAUGCAUGAUAGAUGAGUUAUAUGUUUACAUUUAUAUUUCAUGCAUUAAAAGGCUUAUUGAAAUGUUUUAAAUCACAAAAUGAUUUAAAAUCAAUCAAUUUCUAAGCCAAAAAUAAAUUGGUGUAUAAUAUAAGUCUAAGAGCUUACAAAAUUUCAAAAAUAUUUUCCACAGCUUAACUGGUAUACCGCUUCUUAUCAACCAGAAAAUCGUUUUUCUUUUUUAAACUCUCUGGAUCACAUUCGGAUAACCGGAUUUAGCAAACCGGUAAGCUAAAUUAAUUUUGGUGCUCACUGGAGCAUAACCGGUUAGCCAGUUAUUGCCAACCGGUAAACCGGAUUGGCUUGGCACACAUGCUGGAAAAAUGCAGACAACCAAAUAAGGGAACCGGUAAGCCGUUUUCGGCUUGUAACAUUCUGGACACUAAUCGGCUAACCGAUUAGUGAAAUCCGGAAAACCGGUUACGGUUUUCAUGCCACUGCCUCACAACCGGAUAACCGGUUAUGUAAUUUGAUAAGCCGGAUUCGAAAGGGAAUUUUCUGCCUCAAAAUCGGACAGCCGGUUCCGGUAAACGGUAAGCCAAAUUCACACAUUUUAAAACCAUUCAUCUUCUUCUUCAUUUCGGCAAACCGGAUCCCAUUAUCUCUCUAAAAAUCGUUUCUUCCUUUAUUCUUUUUCACUCCAAAAUCCAUUAUUCUCAUUCGUUUUCGAUCCAAAUGGAUUCAUAUAACUUAUUCCCCAUCCAUUCUUGUGUCCAAAAUCAUUUUUCAAAUCCAUUUUCAUCAUCAAACUCACAAGUAGUCUUUUAUACUUGUAUUUGGACACACCAACAUUUACUGUUUUUUUUUUUUUUUUUGCAUUUGGAUUAUAUGGAUGUUUGCUAUGAUUUUGGAUUAUAUGUUUCUUCUCUCCCUAAGGACUUAAUUUUAGGAGAUACGUCACAAGAUGUAACUACUAGAUCAUCGUUUAGAAAUAUAUGUAAGCAUUUGUAAUAAUGGAUUUGCUCACUUGUUCUUUAGCUCAUAAUGAUGGCUUUUCUGAAUAGUUAUGUUGAUUUUGAUGAUCUAUAUAUUGCCAUUAUAUAUUUUUACUUUGCUUAGGAUUUGAGAUAAAGAACAUGCUUUGAUGAUUACAUGUAUUUGAUGAAGUUUGAUCUUAUGAGAUCUAUGAUUGGUGAAUGGAUCCAUUUUUUGUACUUUAUUGAUGUAUUGUUAAAUAUUCAUUAUUUGCUUUAAAUGAUAUUAAAAGGGGGAGAAAUACAUAUAUUUCGAGAAUUUUAAGCGUAUGAAAUUUUUUUUAAGUUAUAUUGAAAUGUCACAUUAGAUCCUAAAUGAGUUUAAUUUUUAAUGUGAUUAGUAAUUAUGGAGUUUGGAUAGUUGAUAAUAUGCAUGCCAAUUUGGUAAACAAAUCAAAACCUCUUUGUGAAGAGCAAUUUUCAAAAAUUUGGCAUGAACUUGGGAUGAUGAAAUUUAUUAAUAUCUCUAGUCAUGUUAUUAAUACUAUUAAAAUAGAUUUCUUGAUGAUUUUGAUGAUUAAUGAUUAUAUGUGUGUUGCUUGAUGAAUUGGUGAAGUUGUUGGUUUGUAAUAAUUGUUUAAGCCUAUAUGGAAGUGUUUUAACCAUGUUGUAUAUUUGAGGAUUUGUUCAUUUUUAAGGGGAGAUUCUGCAGAAAUUUUUUCUUGCACCAAAUGGGUAAUAUUUUCAUCGAAUUAUUUUUUAUGAUUUUAUUUCGAUUGCAUCUAUCUAUCUUUUCUUUUUUACGAUGAAGGGAGAGAUAAAUAUGAUAUGUUUUUGGAUAAAAUCAUUUUGGUUAAAAUUUUAAAUUGGCCAUAUAUUUAGGGGGAGUAUAUAAUAUGAUUUUGGAUAAUAUGUAUUUUGAACUUUUUUUAUUGUCCAGAGGGGGAGACAAAGUAAUAUAUCAUUUCGAUGUUGUUAAAAGAAGAAGAAUAAUAUUUACUUUGAGUAUUCUUUUAAUGAUUGAUAUUUGGUUAUGAUGAUGAUUUUGAGAUAAUGAUGAUUUGAUUGCAUAGUUGUUUUAUAUGAUAAUUUUAUGUUAUGAGUUGUUGCUUUGGUAAUUAAUGGAAUAAUGGUUCAUGAUAUUUUGGUGUGAUGAUUUGUGUAUGGAGUUGGCUUGUAUCAUGAUUUAUAAUAAUUUGGGAGUAAUAUUACUAAACGUGUAUUUGAGGUAAUGUUUGUUGUUAGGGGGAGAAGGUGUUGAAAUUUCUACUUAAACAAACAUGAGUAAUAAAUUUGCUACUCUUAUUCUUUUCCUUUAAGUUUUCUUUUUGAUGAUGAAAGGGGAGAAGAAUACAUGUUUUUAAAUUUAUAAAAAAAAAAUUUACUACAAUUUUUCUUUGCCAAUUAAGCUUUCUUUUUUAUGAUGAAGGGGGAGAAAAAUCCAUGUAUUUAAAUCUGUUAAUUUAGCCAAUUGGCAAAUUGUAAGAGAAGAUUAUAUUUAGGGGGAGUAAUUCGAGGAAUCGUUCUUUAAAUACAUGAAAUUUUUGUCAUCAUAAAAAAGGAGGAGAUUGUUAACAUAUAUGUUUUCAUAAUGUUGAUUUUGAUGAUAACAAACAAGAUUAAGAAUGAUUAAUCUUUUAAGCUCAAAUUAUUUUUUAUACAUUUUAAAUAAAUAAUUAUUUUUACAUUAUAAAGGUUUUAUAUUUAAUGAAAAAAUGAUUUUAUGAAAUUGGUUGUUUUUCAAGUUUAUAAUUUAAUUGAAAGAGUUUUGAAAACUUUGAAAUAAACAAGUAUUGCUUGAAAUUUUGGAGAAGGACUUAUUUGAAAAGUGUCAUAACAUUUUGGGCUAUAUCAUAAUUUCAAAAAGUUUUGGGAUUAACAAAACAUUACUUAAAAAUUCUGAAAUUGGACAUAUUUGCAAAGUUUCAUAACGUUUUAGGUUGUAAUAUAAUUUUAUAAAGUUUUGGGAUCAAACUAUAAUUUUAAAAAAUAGUUCACUGUAGCAGUUGCUGUAGCAAGCGGCUUACCGGAUGUGAAAAACUGGCAAGCCGGAUGUUGGGCAGAAUCUAUCCGAAUUGAAAGCGGCUUACCAGAUAUGGUUAAACGGCAAACCAGAUUUUGGGCAGUAAGCUUCUAGAGCAUAAACGGCUUACCGAAUUUCGCAAGCGGCAUGCCGGAUAUUCUGAAAUUCAAAUUUUUGCCUUAACGGUAACAUAAAAGCGGCUUACCGGAUUCCUAAACGGCAAGCCCGUUAUGACCAAAAUGUUCAUAACGACUAGUUUUUGAGCUCAAACUAUAUAAACUCAAAACCAAUUCAUUUUUGGCAACCUAAGCAAACAAAAACAAGUGCACACAACUUAUAUUGAGCUUCAAAUUCGAAAAUCAUCAUAGCUUAAAUCUUCAUUGAGCUAUCAUUUGUAUAUCCACUCUUAAAGGGAGUUUCAUUGUUGUAAUUUUUAUUUCUCAUCAAAUUGUGAGUGUACAAGUGUGAGAAACACUUGGGGUGAAGAGAUUGGGGAGAUAAUCUCUUGAUUGUAAAGGUUCAUUGACACCUUGGAAGUCAAUUGUAAAAACUUGAAGCCUUUGGAGGCUUGGAUAGUGAAAUCCUCAAGCGGAUAAGCUUGGAGGCGUCGACGUAGGCGGGGAUUGCCGAACCACGUAAAAAUCCUUGUGUUUGUUUUCUUUUCCCUUACUCUUUUAAUAUUGUACGUGAUUGAAUUUAUUGUUUUCAAUUUGAUUAAGGCAAUAAAUUAAAUUGUUGUGUGGUUUGCUUAGCUUAAAUUUUAAAAUCCCAAUUCACCCUCCUCUUGGGUUGCCUAGUUAGCAUUUCAGGUAAGUGGUAAGUAAUAUAAGUCGCAUAUUUAUUGAUUUUAAUAGGGAAAACUAGUUUAAUCUAAGACAAGUACAUUUUUCUUUUGAAUUUAAAUUAAUUUUAAGAUUUGAAAAGAAUCAAAUAUGACCAAAUAAACUUAUACUUAAUGACAAGAAAGACGAAAGAAAAACUAGUAAAUAUCAAAUAUACGCAUGAUAUAGUUGAUGAUAUUUAGAGAUACAAUUAAUGUAAAAUUUUAUUGAGCGUGGAAUUAUAAAAAAAAAAAAAUUGUUAAAAUAACAGUGAAUUAAUGGCCAUCUCCAAAAAAGAAGAAAAAUCAUCUAAUCUACUUCUGAUUAGAUUAGCGAAGAAGUGAUAUUUAUUUCAAAAUAUGUCAGUUAUACUUUGAUGUAAUUUUAAAAAGGGAUAAAAUUGUAACUCUAUGACAUGGUUUUCAUAAGGAUUUUUAAGGCGUGCCAAUAGCAUACUCUUUGUAUUAUUAUUAUUAUUAUUGUUUUUUUUUUGGGUCACUCUGUAUAAAUAUCAUUUUUCAUUAUGAGUCAAGGGAGUUUAUUCUAUUUUAGUAGAAUCUUCUAAACUUUGUUAUAUGCUACUUAGGACAUCAAUAACCAGUAAAAUAUUCUAUCAUUUUCACAACUCUUUUAAAAAUGUCAACAAAAAAUAAAUUUUUUGACAAAUCCUUCUUGCUAUAAAUUAGACCCCGCAAUUCAAAAAUCUUGCUAGUCUCGACGGUUAAGAUCUUGGUAUAUUUAAUAGAAAAAGUUUGGCUUUUUUUUGUUGAUCUAUUCUUCCUAGGAAUUGUGCAAGCUCUUUAAUUUGUCCAUUUGGCUAGUGUGGAAUUAGGAUCAAAUUCACUACAAAUUUCUUUAAUUUUGUAAACUAGCUGAUCCGAUACGGUUUUUAAAAUCUAUUUAUUUCUUUAUGCAGAAAGAGAUUGCAAGUCAGACAAGCACUCCAAAAUGUACUUGGCCAUUAAAAUCGUAGGUAACUAACAAACCAGCAUGUGUAUUUUAAUGAUCAACCCAGUUAGAGUGUAAUAUAUAUGUUCAGCCUGCAGUGCCUGUUUCUAAAUAUCUGGUAGUAUUAAUGUAUUCUUCAAUGGCAGCUCUUCUUUGGGCUGACUGUCUGGCUCAAUUUGUCAUGUGGACGAUGAUGGAAUAUUUAACAGAAGUAUGGAAGAUUAGCGUGGUGCACGCUGCUGGGAUUGUCAAUAUCUUUUCAGGCCUUGUCCUCGUGUUGCAGUUGCCCAUGCAAUAUCUUGUGGACACCAUCAUCAGCAAAUAUUGGAUGCUUGUGUUCUCCAGUCUUGCUUAUAGUGUCGUAAGUUAAUUAGUUUCUCCUGUAGUAAUACACAGAAAUGUUUCAAUCCAGAAUUUGGAUUUUGUUAAAGUCUAACCAUGCAUGUAUAGCAGUAGCUUAAAUCACAGACAAGGCUCUGAUCUGCAGGGCAUCGGCUUAUUGACAAUGUCAACCCCACCCGUUCUAGCUGGGUUUGUGGGCACCUGCAGUGAAUACAAGCCUGAAUGCAUCGUCGAGGGACACAAAAUUCUCUUUUACGCAGCUUUAGGUCUAUUAGCCUUCGCAAGUUCAAGCUGCUCGGUCGAAUCCACAGAGUUUGCAGAAGAACAGCUUGAAAUUGCAAUAAAUGAACAUAUUUCCCUGUCUUUAAUCCAGCGGGAAUUCUUUAAAUUAUUAUUGUUCAUGGUGCCAGUCGCUGCGAUCAUACCAAUUUCUUACAUAAAGCCUUGGAAUCUCAGAUUUGGGGUUUCAGCAAUAUGUACUGUAAUAGCGACACUUCUUUUCUUAAGUGGCACAUGUACUUAUGAAAAUAAGGAACCUGAAGGGAGUCCACUCACAAGUGUAUUCAGAGUAUUUGUAGCCUCUACUACCAAAUUAUUCUAUAGGCUCCCGAGCGAUGCCUCUGAGCUCUAUGAGGGCAACGACAAUGAUGAUUCCUUUUCUGACAGUGAUGAUUCCUCUUUUGUGCAACCAACUUGUGGCCUCGGGUAAAGUUUUGCACUCUCUCUAUAGUGCUUACCAUAUCCGCCAUUAAUCGUACUUGACAACUAGAGAUAUUAUAUUUAAUUAAUUAAUAUUUUGCAGAUGCCUAGACAAGGCUGCAGUUAUAUUACCAAACGGAACGAUAGAGCAACAAGAGACAAACAGAUGGAGACUAUGCAGCGUUACAGAAGUUGAAGAAACAAAACGUCUUUUACGAAUGAUUCCGAUUUGCUUAACCUUCAUCAUACCAGGGGUAGUUUCUUCAAUUGGAAACACUUACUUUGUUGAGCAAGCGGACCUCUUAAACAAAAAAGUCGGAAACUUGAAGGCCACUACUGUAAUACUCUUGCCGUACUAUAACAAUGUAAACAAAAGGGUCGCUAAAAUGUACACAGGGUGUCUUCUCUUGUUUGCUUUAAUGGGAAGGAAAAAGUAUGUUCAUGUCGUGGGAUUUGCAAUAUCAAUGGUCGCAGCAAUACUAUGCUGUAUAACAGCAGCAAUGGUCGAGAAUCGAAGGUUGGAUGUUGCUAGAAGCCAUGGUUUAAUUGACAAGCCUGAUGCUGAAAUCCCCAUGAGCCUUUUUUGGUUGCUGCCGCAGUUUUUUCUUCUGGGAUGCUUUGAUGGGAUCCGUGAAAAAAGCAUCGAUGACUUCUUCACUGAUCAGUGUCCUCGCUCACUGAGCAAAUACGCGACACUCUUUUCUACUGCUGUUACGGGACUAGGAGUUAUUGGAGGUGUGCUAUCUGUUUACCUUGUGGGAAUCAUCAGUGAAUCGAAAAGGAAAAAUAAUUGGUUUCAGUUCACGCUCAAUCACAGCCGUCUGGAUAAUUAUUACUGGGUGUUGGCUGCAUUCACAGCAGCCAAUCUUGCUGCGUACAUAAUCUUGGCAAUGUUGCUUCCUCUCCGAGAUGCGAGUUCUGAAUUCCUUGAAAACUUCCUUGAAGAUGCAUAAGGUCGUCAUCAACAACUUGUCUGCUGAUGUUGUUGAUGUUUCGCUUUAGAGUUUGGUUUAAUGCUCCUUGGCUUCAAGUUUUAAUGUAAAACCAAACUUAUGUGUCAACAAUAACAACAAGGUAAUAAGGCAUUAAGAUAGAACUAAAGAAUGCAAGUUUGAGAAUUUCAUUUAACAAGCAUAUUGUCGGUUUUUUUUUUUUUCAUUCAAUUAAUGCACAGCCUGCUGAAUUACAGUUAAAUGGAAUAAUAAAUAUAUUCAUUUUGUUGCGUCGAGUUUCGAGUUUUGAUGAAAGAGAAAUGCUAAAGGUCGGGAACGCUGAGAGAACACUGAGAGAAACGGCAGCUUGUGCUGCCGUUUCGUGUUCUCUCAGCUCCCCCCCAACAUGACUAAGAAAGCGAGCCCCCACGUGAAAAAAUAAAUCAGCUCAAGUCACUUUUACCAAAAGCUGCCGUUUGGCCCGACACUCAAGUCACUUUUGCCAAGUGAAUUCUGCCCCCCACGUGAAAGUUUAAGUUCUCUCCUUGCUCAUGACCAAGCAAAGCUAAGUUUGAGUUCUCUCCUUGCUCCUUCACUCGUUCACUUCUCCUUCGUUUGUCGUUCACUUCUUUACUCAUCACAAACCAUUACUUCAGCUCAUCCAAUCAGUGAAUCAGUGGCCAUUACUUCAGUUCGUUCAUUUCUCGAUCUAGAUCUUGAAAAUGAUAAUGUGUUUAAUUUAGAAUUUUUUAGAAAUCUUUUUAUUUAAAUGAUAUGUUUGAUUUAUAAUUUUUUAAUUUAAAUGUACCUGCAUUUACUGAUUAAAUGAUAAUGUGUUUAAUUUAGAAUUUUUUAGGAUUAAAUUAUUGCUGGAAAAAUUUAUAAUAAUUUAUUCUUAAUUUAAAUUUUGUUUGAACAUAGAAUUAUUUUUAAUUUAAAUUGUGUUCGAUUUAUAAUUUAUUUAAUUUAAAUUGUUAGAACUUUAAUGGAUUAAAUUAUUGCUGGAAAAAUUUAUAAUAAUUUAUUCUUAAUUUAAAUUUUGUUUCCACAUUGAAUUUUUGUAUUUAAAUUGUGUUCGAUUUAUCAUUUUUUUAAUUUAAAUUAUUAGAACUUUAAUGGAUUAAAUUAUUGCUGGAAAAAUUUAUAAUAAUUUAUUCUUAAUUUAUAAUAAUUUAUAAUAACCUAUAUACCCAACCCAAGGUGGUGUGCACAAUCUUUAUCAACCAUUUCCUUAUACUUGGCAACAAGUAAGCUUUUAUCUAAAAAUCACAAUUUGUUAGUGUACACUUAUAUUUUUUAAUUUCAAAAAUCUCAUAUCAGGUUUUAAAUUUUUACGUAUUACAGCAACCACUCCCGCCGUAUGCUUUGCAACCACAUUAUCCUUCUCAUUCGAUGACGUACGAAGGAUCUGGAAGUUUCCAACAUUUGCUACAUCAACAACAUAAUGAAGACAACAAUGGAUGUGAUUGAUGUUUGAAUUUGGUUAAAUCGAACUAAUUACAGUAGCUUUUUUUUCUAAAUUGCUUCUUGACAAGUGAACCAUCUUUAUGGAGUAGUUGUUGUUGACAUUAAGUACGGGCAAGUAUAGACAAUUUCAAGGAUGUUUUUGUUGUGAUUUGAAUUUGGGCAUCUUGCUUUUUGUUUGCAAUAUGUCUCGAUAAUGUUGGUAUCGUCAUCAUAAUGAAGACAACAAUGGAUGUGAUUGAUGUUUGAAUUUGGUUAAAUCGAACUAAUUACAGUAGCUUUUUUUUCUAAAUUGCUUCUUGACAAGUGAACCAUCUUUAUGGAGUAGUUGUUGUUGACAUUAAGUACGGGCAAGUAUAGACAAUUUCAAGGAUGUUUUUGUUGUGAUUUGAAUUUGGCCAUCUUGCUUUUUGUUUGCAAUAUGUCUCGAUAAUGUUGGUAUCGUCAUCAUAUACUUAAUUCUUUUAUUUUCAAUCUUUAUUAUUUGUAGUAUCGUCAUCAUAUACUUAUACCCAACCAGCAGUUUUGAACAAAUAAUUAUCAACCAAAAAUUUCAACAAAAUAAUUAUUUACAAAGUUACCAACAAUUAUCCAAAAAUAAUUAUCAAAAAGUAAUUCCAAACAACAUAAUCACUCUUAUUUAAAUUACCAAACAAAAUUAUUAAUUAUUAAAAUAAUUAUCAACAAUACAAUUACCAAAAUAAUUCCCAACAAAUAAUCACUCCACAAAAUAAUUACCAAACAUAAUUACCAACAAUUAUCAUAAAUUAAUUAUUAAAAUAAUUAUCAACAAUACAAUUACCAAAAUAAUUCUCAACAAAACAAUCACUCCGCAAAAUAAGGAGUGCUGGAUUUCACAAGCAUCAGAAUUCAAGAACUAAUAUGAGAAGAACAGAGAAACAAGGCUGUUUCUCAUAUAAGAAAGUUAAAAACUAAUGAAAUUGUUCAACUCUGUGCCUUCCAAAUCCCCCCAAAAGGGAAAAACCAUAAACCUCAUAACUAAACAUAUAAUAAACCAAAACCAAGACCAUUAAGCACUAGUCCUUUAUUCCAAACAUCCAAAUCAUAAGGAUUAAGAUUUUAAGACCCAACUGAAACAUGAAAAACAAAGGCCUUGGACCAUCAACAAAUUCAGCUUUAUGCUUGAGUCUUUGCCAUAUGGACGAUCAAAUCAAUCACACGGGAACUGCAAAAGAAAGGAACAUGUCAAGGACGUGAAAAGCUAUCAUAGAACUUACUUCAAAGCAUCGGUAGGGAGAAGGGGGGAAAAAAAAACAGAUUAGAACAAUCACAAAGAGAAGAUUUACAUUACCUGUAACCCCAUUCAUUGUCAUACCAAGAGACGACUUUCACGAAGUUCUUGCUCAAAGCAAUACCAGCCUUGGCAUCAAAAAUGCUGGACCUGCAAAGAAGGAAGAAGGAGUGCUGGAACGGAUCUGUUGAAAGCGAAGAAGGAAAAUGAUUUGAAAGGGAGUACUUUUUCUUUUUCACAUGGGGGACAGAUAUCUGUUACUCACGUGGGGUGGGGGGGGAGGUGAGAGAACGAAACGGUAGCACAAGCUGCCGUUUCUCUCAGCGUUCUCUCAGGGUUCCCGAUGUUUAGCAGCACUCUUGAUGAAAAUGUCUGUUUACACGGUCUCAUCCUUUAAAUGUUAUUUUUAUUUGAGUUGGACUAUUGGCACCCCUCUAAAAUUCUUUUAAAACCCCCUUUUGAAUUAUACUAAACCUAAUGCCAAAAUUACUCUUAUUUCUAAAUAAACACAUUUAAUUUGUGAAUCUUUUAAUUUUUUUUCUCACUUCUCACAAAUGAAAUUUUUAUCGGUGAUAAACUUCUUGAUAAAAAUCAAUGAAUCAAAUAAAUUAUCUAUAAGAUUAUGAUGUAAAAAGUCAGAUAAUUUUAUCAGAAUGUGUUUUAUUUAUUAUCAAUAGAUUGUCUUAUUUAUUGAAGAAAAAUUUAUAGAUAAUUUGAGGAAAAAAAAUUACAUGUGUGAGUGUGAUAGUGAUAGUAUAGAAAAUACAAUUUUUUUUUAAAGAGAAAAAAUACAAAAGUGAAGUGAGAUAAAAUAGAUGUGAGAUGUAUUAAAUUAUUUAUCUUAAAAUGUAAUUAUAAUAGAAGAGGGAUUUUAAAAGAAUUAUGUAAGGGUGCCAAUAGUCCAACUCUUUUUUAAUUUUCUUUUUGGGAGCUCCAUAGUAGAAUAUAUAUCAUUUGGGGCAUAUAUAUUUAAUUUUGGAGUUAUAGUAAUAACAAAUAAUAAUAAUAAUAACAAUAAUAAUUAAAGCUAUCAUAGAUAUAUACUGAGGCUUGGCUGCUUGAUUUGGCUAAAAAUUGAGGCUCAAAAUGGCCUCGAUCUUAUGACUACAAAACAAAUAAUAAUAAUAAUAACAAUAAUAAUUAAAAAAAAAAUACAAGGAUUGCCCGGUUGCCCUGACUUGUGAGAUGAGAAAUCUUAAAAGUUAAAACUGUGAAGUCUUGAACUAUGAAAUCUUUUGCUCAGCAGAAGCAACAACAUUCGGCAUCAUCCUCGAAAGGCCCAUCAGUUUCUUCAAAUUCAGUCUCUUCAAGAUUUUCCAACCUCGAAUCUCUGAAAGCAUACAAUAUUGCAACAACAAUGAACAAAACAAGAUUAGCAGCAGUAAGUGCAGCCAAUACCCAGUAAUAAUUAUCCAAACGACUCUUAUUAAGCGUGUCUUGAAACCAAUUCUGCUUCCCUUUCCGUUCACUAAUGAUUCCCACAAGGUAAAUGGACAGGACACCACCCAUAGUUCCUAAUCCUAAAGUACAGCUGAAAAUAUGUGCCACAUACUUGAACAAUAAGGGAGGAAACUGAUCAAUGAAGAAGCACGCAAUGCUUACUUCACAAACCCCAUCAAAGCCUCCGAGGAGUAAAAACUGUGGGAGCAACCAAAACAUGCUCAUAGGGAUUUUAUCAUCAGGCUUGUCAAUUAAACCGUGGCUUCUAAUAACAUCUAGCCUUCGAGUCUCCACUUUUGCUGCUGUUAUGCAGCAUAGUAUUGCUAGAACCAUUGACGUUGCAAAUCCAAUGGCAGGAGCAUAUUUUUUGCUUUGCGAUUCACCAAAGGAGUUGAGAAACUUUGCAUAGAGGUUAGUGAAUUGUGUCCUUGCUAUGUCAUAAAACAAUAAGAGUAUUGGAAGAGGGACGCUUAAUUUUCCAACUUUUCGGUUUAAAUGGUCUGCCUGCUCAAGAAAGUAAGUAAACCCAAUAGAAGAAACUACUCCUGGUAUGAUGAAGGUUAAGCAAAUUGGAAUCAUUCGUAAAAGACCUUUUGUUUCUUCAAUUUCUGUGACUCUGCAUAGUCUCCAUCUGUUUCCUUCUUGCUGCUCUAGCGUCUUGUCCGGUAAUAUAAUUGCAGCUUUGUCUAGGCACCUGCAAAAUCCAAAUAUAAAGUUACUAGUUGUCGAGUAUAUCUGCGUGGAUGGUAAACACUGGAGAGAGUACGAACCUGAGGCUGCGAGUAUGCUGCACAACAUAAAUCUCAUCAACAUUAUCUCUCUCAUAGAGCUCAGAGGCAUUCCUUGGGAUCCUAUAAAACAAUUUGAGUGCAGAGGCUACAAAGACUCUGAAGACAGUUGUGAGUGGACUCCCUAGGGGUUUCCUACGUCUAUAAGAACAAGAGCCACUUAAGAAAACAAGUGUUGCUACCACAGUAAAUAUUGCUGGAAUCCCAAAUCUGAUUUUCCAAGGCUUUAUGUAAGGAAAUGCUGUAAGUGCAAUUAUAGGAACUAAGACCACCCCGCAGAAGCUGAAGAAAAACAGCUUGGCGGAACGCAUGGAAACUUGUUCUGCUCUCGAAUCUGUCAUUUGAUCUGCCAUGAACCCUCCAAUUGAGACCAAGUGACCUGACAUUCCAAAGGCUAUCAGACCUAAAGCUGUGUAAAAGAGAAUUUUCUGUCCCUCGCCGAAUCAUUCAGGCUUGUAUUCACUGCAGGUGCCCAUAGCCCCAGCUAAUACAGGUGGUGUUGACAUUGUCAAGAAUCCCAUACCCUGCAAAACAGAGUUGUUUGUGAUCUAAGCUACUGCUAUAAUUAGGGCACGCUUGUACUAGUUGUGAUUCAGCUUGAUUUUGAAAGCGCUAUAAGAGGAACUAUCGUACAGCACUAUAAGCAAGACUGGAGACCAAAAGCAUCCAAUAGUUACUGAUGAUAGUAUCAACGAGCUUUUGUAUAGCUAAAGGCAGCAUGAGGACAGUGCCCCAAAAGAAAUUGACAAUGGCAGCAGCACGCACUAAGCUGAUCUUCCAUACGUUUGUUAAGUAUGUCAUCAUCACCCACAUUGCAUAGGCAGCAAAAAUAUCAGCCCAAAAAAGAACUGCAAUUGAAGAGAACAACAAGAAAUUGAGAAACAAGCAAAGAUAUUAUAAACAUCGGGUUUAUUAUAUAAUAAAAUACACUAGUUAGUUUAUUACAUGUGAUUCGGCCAAUGGAGGAAAGCAUUUCUAAGUUAUAGUGUCACUCGCACUAUCUUUCUGCAAAAAGAAAGUGAAAAGUUACAGAAAACCCAGAUGAGUUCAAGAAAUUGUUAAAAGGAAAAUGGACAAAGAGCUUACACAAUUUAAAGGAAAAAUGCAAAUAACUGAACCUCAAAAGAGAAAAAAGAAAUAAUGAAGUGGGCCUGUUGAGACUUGGAAAGAUUUUGGGAAUGCAGGGUCUAAUUUAUGGGUAUGAAUGAUGUCAAUAAAGAAGCAUCCCAGAAAAGCGUGAUGUGGUUAAGAGCGAUGUCGAAACAAUCUCUUGGUUGAAAUUCUGCUCUGCCAAGCUUUUUCAAAGGAAGAUCCGAGUUUCCCAUCUCCCCUUUGUGUGCAUAUCUCUAAUAAGAAAGACAUUUGUGAGAUGCUCAUCAUAUGUGCUUUGGAUUUUAUGAAGUAAACCAAUUGACUUGGAUAUUAAGCGAAAGCCAAUCUAGGGGCAAUGUGCAAUAUAUUCACACGGCUGCUAGCAUGGCUAAAUUCAUUUUUGCUAGUUUAGUUAUUAUUAUGAUUAUUUCUUAAUCAUUACAUGCAAAGAAGGGAAAAUUUGUGAGGACAAAGAGUGAUACUUUUGAAAGCAAUCCCUGGAGAGAUGAAAGCUGACCAUACCGCGUUUUUUUCCCCAUCAUUUUUCCUGUUUGGGAUUGCAAAAGUCCAUAAUAAUUGAAUUUGGUAAUGGGUAUUUUGGUAUACGAUAUCUCCCUUCUUUGCUGAAUAACUGCUAGGCAUUGACACUGACUUGGAAGAAUUCAAAACCCAUGUCGUGUGAAGAACAUGUAUCAAAAUUAUGAUUCGAAAAUGCAAGCAUGUUGCUAUCAAUCCCACGACAUCUAUUUUAAAUUUCUCAGCAUACACACUUCUCUUGUGCCACAGCGUUUUACUAGUGAAUGAGGGAAUGUAUAGGCGCAAUGGCGGGUGAAUGGAAUUGUGAAGUCAAAAAAAUAACACACAGCCGCACUUUUGCAGCAGAAAUGUAAGAAACGAACUUCCAUUAGUUGACAAUAUACAUCAAUUAUCAGUGUGCUUGCAAGUUUUUGUACUUUGUAGCACAUCCCUUGAACGUUCCUCCUAAGAUUCUCUCAAGCCCUCACACAUACGACUUUAAGCGGAGAAGGAAAGAAAAGGAUGGUUCUGCUGCCCAAAAUGCAACCCUAGUUUAUAUGGGCAGAGAUAAGUAGUCGCCCUACCUUCAAGGUGGACUACAAAUUAAGUCUAAAAUCUAUAACUCAGGCUUCCUCAUUCAAUUCGACAAGAGCUUUAUUUUAAAAAUUCUCAGAAUUUGUACAAUAACACUACAAAGUCUUGUACAGCAUUUGUAUCCAACAAUACACACACAAGUCCCCAGAUGAUCACAAAACGCAAACUACCCCAGAAAGAUUUGAACUCUCCCACACUUCGAUGCCCUCAACGUCCUCUCUACUGACGAACAAUCUAUUCCCCCCGGCAUCGAUUCUACUAAUUGCACCCCUACCCGAAUCUUCUGCUCUAUCCACAAAAUUUCUUCUAAACAAUCCCUCACUACAACUUCUAUUUCUUCCCUCUCGAACUCUUGACCAAACUUCUAAGCUGCCCCCUCUCCCCACAAACACUUGAUUUUUGUAACAAUGUAUCAACUUGUUUCCCCCAUUAUUAUUACCGUUACUACUAAUCAUGCUGGGAUUCUUGUCCUCCAUAUAUACCCACGGAUCUUCCCCUAAAUUACGUAAGUCUGCCAUCGCUAUAUCCCCCGACUUGGAACAGAUUUUAAACAAAGUCAACUCGUCAACGUCCACGUCCACGUCCGCGAACGAGUCACCGAACCUAGCGCUCCGUCCCGAGCCUGGCUCGUUUGUUUCCCAAACCACCUCUCCCGACCGCGGGUCCCACAUUCGGACGUAGCCGGAAUAACCGAACGCCCCCCACGCGAUGGCGCUUCCGAGGACCACCCCCGUGGCUGGGAUCCACGUGAGCUUUCCGACCGCCAUGUUCUUUGACGAGGCUCCCGAUUGUCUGCCGAUCUCCGACGAGAUCUGGAGCGUUGACUUGUCGAUCAAGAGGACACUGUUCUCUUUGUGCGGGCAGACGAACGACGAGAACACUGUGGUUGGCGAGUCGGCGAUGGCGGUGACGGUGGCUCUGUAGAUUCGCGGAUCGCUUGGAUCCGUCCAGUGAGCUGACGCCACGUGGCGAGAGCUGGAGAGAUCGUAGAAGUGGAUGCCCGAGGAGUAAUCGGAGCCGACGGCGGCCACGUCGGACCAAACGUGGCGGAUCGAGGUGAUGUUGUCGAGAUGCGUACGGACGGUGACGGAGUGGGAGAGGUUCCAAUCGUAGACGGAUAUCUGGCCGCCGUGUGCUAUCCAAAGAGAUCCGUCAUCGGAAGAGGCUGUAAAGGUGGAGGGAAGUGCGUCGGCUGCGGGACGCACAGUGGAGACGAUUGAGGCGUCGAUGCCUUGGAGCGGCGGUGGAGACAUCGCCGAUUUUAGCUGCGAAUCGAUGCCGUAGUAGAGGGCCUCAUCGGCGAGUUCUUGUUUGGAGAAUCGGGAGGCGGUUGAAGGGAGGCGAUUGGAGCGGAGCAGAGAGAGAAGAACAGAGAAGACGUCCGGGUCACGGUCAAUGAAAAUCGGGUUCGGUUCGUCGCUUUGGCGGUUCGAAAGAGCAUACAAGAGCGAAUCUGGACCGCCCGAUUGGAUCGUUGAUAGGGUUGUUUCGAAGAGUUUGCCUCCAACGUUGAGCUUAACUCGGUCGCCGUUUUGACGGUCAGGGGUAUGAUCGGAAUUUACGUUGUCCAUUUCUAGGAGACGGCGGCGUGUUUGUAAAGACGUUUAAGACACAGAGUGUAAUGGGGAAGGAGGAGGAAGGUUUUUGGUUAAUUGACGGUAAUGCCCUUCUUUAUAUAGCUGAGCCGAUGAACUUGUAGCUGUGUUGCUCAAUUUGAGGCUGUGCGCCGGAAAUGUAACAAAAAUCAUAAAUCAUAAUCUGCAUUAUCCGCACAGAUUUAUUUUUAUUUUUUUAUUUUUUAAAAAAUGCCGGCCUAUAUAUACAGUAACCAGAAAUUUGAUGUACAGGGCAAAUUUCUAAAGUUUUUGAGACAAAAAAAAAGACAAACAAUUAGACAUUCCAAUUCUAGCAUAAAUUAUCAACAUAUUAAAUUUAUAGGCAUUAUAACGUAUUUUAAAUUACAUUUAUUGCGUUUUCUCUUGGUUUAACAAAUUGAAAUCACACCCCUUUAAUGUAAUUAUCCCACAUUAAUUGUAUAAAAUGAAACAUGAGUGGGGCUAUUUGAAUUCACCGAUUUAUUUUCUACAAUUUCUUUUUAUUUAAGAAUUUUAUUAUCUAAAUAAUUUUUGAAAAAAUUACUUAAAUUUAUUCUUUCUUCUAUUUUUCUUCUCAAUUUCACAAAUUAUCAUUAAUUCAUUUAGAUAUAUUCUUUUAACUACAAAUAAUUGAUAUCAUUAGCUAUAGAGGAACAAAACCCACCAUUUAAAAAUGAAUAU